rnacentral:rRNA from 1 species
UACGAAGGGGGCUAGCGUUGCUCGGAAUCACUGGGCGUAAAGCGCACGUAGGCGGACUCUUAAGUCGGUGGUGAAAUCCUGGAGCUCAACUCCAGAACUGCCUUCGAUACUGGGAGUCUCGAGUCCGGGAGAGGUGAGUGGAACUGCGAGUGUAGAGGUGAAAUUCGUAGAUAUUCGCAAGAACACCAGUGGCGAAGGCGGCUCACUGGCCCGAUACUGACGCUGAGGUGCGAAAGCGUGGGGAGCAAACAGG